GAGGGUGUAGCUCAGUGGUAGAGCGCAUGCCUAGCAUACACAAGGUCCUGGGUUGAAUCCUCAGUGCCUCCA
rnacentral:tRNA from 1 species